rnacentral:rRNA from 1 species
GAUGAACGCUGGCGGCGUGCCUAAUACAUGCAAGUCGAGCGAACGGACGAGAAGCGUGCUUCUCUGAUGUUAGCGGCGGACGGGUGAGUAACACGUGGAUAACCUACCUAUAAGACGGGGAGAACUUCGGGAAACCGUAGCUAAUACCGGAGAAUAUUUUGAACCGCAUGGUUCAAAAGUGAAAGACGGUCUUGCUGUCACUUAUAGAUGGAGCCGCGCUGCAUUAGCUAGUUGGUAAGGUAACGGCUUACCAAGGCAACGAUGCAUAGCCGACCUGAGAGGGUGAUCGGCCACACUGGAACUGAGACACGGUCCAGACUCCUACGGGAGGCAGCAGUAGGGAAUCUUCCGCAAUGGGCGAAAGCCUGACGGAGCAACGCCGCGUGAGUGAUGAAGGUCUUCGGAUCGUAAAACUCUGUUAUUAGGGAAGAACAUAUGUGUAAGUAACUGUGCCCAUCUUGACGGUACCUAAUCAGAAAGCCACGGCUAACUACGUG